GAUCACAAGUACUUAAAACUGAGAGGUUGGUGUCGACUACUGUCGACCGCUUUUUUUUAUUAAAAUAUGUGCUUGUGGACUUGGGGGCUUAUUAAUUAGACCUCCCUUUGUUUUCAUAGUAUGUUUUACUGUGAUUAAUAUAAUAUCAAAUUCAUCAAAUAGAGGUAAAACAGGACUUGAAUUGAAAUAUUAAUAUGGGUGAAAUACAUCAAUCAAUGGCAGAAGUAAGUGAAUGAUGCUCUUUUAAUACUAAAAUCAAGUUUGAUCAAAUGGAACUAAAUCAAGAGGUUAGUGAGGACUCCUGUAAAUCAGAAAUACAAGCUAAUGAGGUGAAUGAUGCUCUCUUUGAUACUAAAAUCAAGUUUUGUCAAAUGGAAGUAAAACAGGAGGUUAGUGAGGACACCUGUAAAACAGAAAUACAAGAUGAGGUGAAUGGCGCUGUUUUUGAUUACCUUAAAAUUGAGCUUAAUGAAGAGCUGGAGAAAGAAAGUACACAUAAUGCAUCUGAUUAUUUAGAAUCAAAUGAAGACUCUAUAAAAACUGAAAUAGAAGGAGUUGAAGAAAAACUAACAAAUAAAAAAAGUUUUCCCCUUGAAGAUAUACAAACUGAUGCAAGCAAAGUAUUCAAAGACCCUGUUAGAACUAAUGGUACUUUGAACCAAUAUCUAUCUGCUGUUACAUGUGAAGUUUGCACCAAACAAUUUUUCACAAAAAAUCUUUUAACCAUAGAUAUAAGUGAGAACAUCAAAAAAGGAAUUUACACAUGUAAAACAUGCACCAAAGACUUCUUAAAAAGUUUUGAUUCAAAGUCACAAGUGGAAACCCACAAUACUGGAGAAAAACCGUUUGAAUGUGAAAUUUGCUCCAAAUUGUUUUCACAAACAUGCCAUUUGAAUGAGCAUAUGAAACUACACACGGGAGAUAAACCUUUUAAAUGUGAAAUAUGCUCCAAAGUGUUUUCACUAAAAUCCAAUUUAAAUAAGCAUGCGAAAGUCCACAAGGGAGAUAAACCUUUUGCGUGUGAAGUAUGCUCCAAAACGUUUUCACUGAAAUGCAAUUUAAAUAAGCAUAUGAAAAUCCACACGGGAGAUAAACCUUUCACUUGUAAAAUUUGUUCCAAAGUGUUUUCACGUAAAUGCAAUGUAGAAAGACAUGAGGAAAUGCACUGGAGAAACACCUUUUACAUGUGAAAUUGGCUCCAAAAUCAAAAGGAUCAGCAAGCUGACCCUUGGAAGGGUGGACUUCUAUGUGUUUUCCCCGUGAAGAUAUACAAACUGAUGCAAGCAAAUUAUUCAAAGACCAUGUUAGAGUUAACGCUGCUUUGGACCAAUUUCUGACUGCUUCGACGAAAGUGAAAAGUGAAAAAAGUUAUGUUACCUGUGAAACUUGCGCCAAACAAUUUUCAACAACAAAUCAUUUAAAUGCAGAUAUCGGCGGGAACACCAGAAAAAGAAUUUUCACCUGCAAAAUUUGCACAAAAAACUUUUUAAAAAGUUCUCAGUCAAAAUCACAAGUGAAAACCCACAAUACUAGAGAAAAAUCCUUUAAAUGUGAAAUUUGCUCCAAAUUGUUUUCACAAAAAUGCCGUUUAAAUGAGCAUAUGAAAUUACACAAAGGAGAUAAACCUUUUUCAUGUGAAAUUUGCUCCAAAAUGUUUUCAAAAAAGGGUGAUUUAAAAAUUCAUCUCACAACACAUACUGGUGAAAAACCUUUUAAAUGUGAAAUUUGCUUCAAAUUGUUUUCACAAAAAUGCAAUUUAACUGUUCAUAUGAAAAUACACACAGGAGAUAAAUCUUUUUCAUGUGAAAUAUGCUCUAAAGUGUUUUCACUGAAAUGCAAUUUAAAUAGACAUAUGGAAAUUCACAUAGGAGAUAAACCUUUUUCAUGUGAAAUAUGCUCCAAAUUGUUUGCACUAAAAUCCAAUUUAAAUAGGCAUACUAAAAUCCACAUAGGAGAUAAACCCUUUGCAUGUGAAAUUUGCUCCAAAAUGUUUUCACAAAAGGUCGAUUUAAAAAUACAUCUUAGAACACACACCGGUGAAAAACCUUUUAAAUGUGAAAUUUGCUGCAAAUUGUUUUCCCAAAAAUCCAGCUUAACUGUUCAUAUGAAAAUACACAAAGGAGAUAAACCUUUUUCAUGUGAAAUAUGCUCUAAAACGUUUUCACAAAAAUGCCAUUUAAAUGAGCAUAUGAAAAUACACACGGGGGAUAAACCUUUUGAAUGUGAAAUUUGCUCCAAAAUGUUUUCACAAAAGGUAGAUUUAAAACUACAUCUUAGAACACACACCGGUGAAAAACCAUUUAAAUGUGAAAUAUGCUCCAAAUUUUUUUCACUAAAAUCCAAUUUAAAUGGUCAUAUGAGAAUACAUAAAGGAGAUAAACCUUUUAAAUGCACAAUUUGUUCCAAAUUGUUUUCACAAAAAUCAAAUUUAACUGUUCAUAUGAAAAUACAUACAGGAGAUAAAUCUUUUUCAUGUGAAAUAUGCUCCAAAUUGUUUGCACUAAAAUCCAAUUUAAAUAGGCAUACUAAAAUCCACAUAGGAGAUAAACCCUUUGCAUGUGAAAUUGCUCCAAAAUGUUUUCACAAAAGGGCGUUUUAAAAAUGCAUCUUAGAAUACACACCGGUGAAAAACCUUUUUCAUGUGAAAUAUGCUCCAAAUUGUUUGCACUAAAAUCCAAUUUAAAUAGGCAUACUAAAAUCCACAUAGGAGAUAAACCCUUUGCAUGUGAAAUGUGCUCUAAAAUGUUUUUACAAAAAGGCGAUUUAAAAAUGCAUCUUAGAAUACAUACCGGUGAAAAACCAUUUAAAUGUGAAAUUUGCUCCAAAUUGUUUUCCCAAAAAUCCACGUUAACUGUUCAUAUGAAAAUACACAAAGGAGAUAAACCUUUUUCAUGUAAAAUAUGCUCUAAAGUGUUUUCACAAAAAUGCCAUUUAAAUGAGCAUAUGAAAAUACACACGGGGGAUAAACCUUUUGAAUGUGAAAUUUGCUCCAAAAUGUUUUCACAAAAGGUCGAUUUAAAACUACAUCUUAGAACACACACCGGUGAAAAACCAUUUAAAUGUGAAAUAUGCUCCAAAUUGUUUUCACUAAAAUCCAAUUUAAAUUGUCAUAUGAAAAUACAUAAAGGAGAUAAACCUUUUAAAUGCACAAUUUGUUCCAAAUUGUUUUCACAAAAAUCAAAUUUAACUGUUUAUAUGAAAAUACACACAGGAGAUAAAUCGUUUUCAUGUGAAAUAUGCUCCAAAUUGUUUGCACUAAAAUCCAAUUUAAAUAGGCAUACUAAAAUCCACAUAGGAGAUAUACCCUUUGCAUGUGAAAUUUGCUCCAAAAUGUUUUCACAAAAGGUCGAUUUAAAAAUACAUCUUAGAACACACACCGGUGAAAAACCUUUUAAAUGUGAAAUUUGCUGCAAAUUGUUUUCCCAAAAAUCCAGCUUAACUGUUCAUAUGAAAAUACACAAAGGAGAUAAACCUUUUUCAUGUGAAAUUGCUCCAAAGUGUUUUUACAAAAGGGCGUUUUAAAAAUGCAUAUUUCACAUGAAAAAGGUUUUUCACCGGUGUGUAUUCCAAAUUGUAGUCCAAAUUGUUUGCACUAAAAUCCAAUUUAAAUAGGCAUACUAAAAUCCACAUAGGAGAUAAACCCUUUGCAUGUGAAAUGUGCUUAAAAAUGUUUUUACAAAAAGGCGAUUUAAAAAUGCAUCUUAGAAUACACCCAAUCUUAGAAUUUGUGAAAUGUGCGCCAAAUCGUUUUCACGAGGACCCCAUUUGCAAAGACAUCUUAGAAUACACACUGGAGAAAAAUCUUGAAAAAAUCCGCUUUAAAAAAAUCUGACAAUACAAACUGGAGAUAACCUUUUGCAUUUAAAGUCUGCUCAUUUCUCAUCCACUCUCCUUUCAUUUGGUUUAAUUCGACGAAUCGUUGAAUUUUGUAACUCAGUCAGAGGACUUCUUUGAGUCAAUAAAUCAAAUUUGCCUUAUUUAUUGCCAGUGUUCACUAUUUAUCGCUACACAUCCAUUUAUAACGAAGAUACGAUUCGAAACAAAUGAAUGCGUUUAAAUAGCAUUGGACCAAGAUUAUGCGCCUACCCCCUUAAAACUACCCAAUUAAAAAAACAUGACAAUAAAACAUUUUGCAUAUUCGACAUGUAUUUUACAUUAGUCUAUACUUAUUAAAUUGUCACGAUAGUGUCCAAUACAUGCAAAAAUUAAAACUGUCGAUAUUCUUACUGUAAUUAUGUACAUAUUCAUAUUAUCAUAUUAAAUUACUAUCAAAUGAA
rnacentral:misc_RNA from 1 species